GACGAACGCUGGCGGCGUGCUUAACACAUGCAAGUCGAACGGAGCACCCUUGACUGAGGUUUCGGCCAAAUGAUAGGAAUGCUUAGUGGCGGACUGGUGAGUAACGCGUGAGGAACCUGCCUUCCAGGAGGGGGACAGCAGUUGGAAACGACUGCUAAUACCGCAUGACGCAUGACCGGGGCAUCCCGGGCAUGUACAAAGUAUUUUUAUCGCUGGAAGAUGGCCUCGCGUCUGAUUAGCUAGAUGGUGGGGUAACGGCCCACCAUGGCGACGAUCAGUAGCCGGACUGAGAGGUUGACCGGCCACAUUGGGACUGAGAUACGGCCCAGACUCCUACGGGAGGCAGCAGGUGGGGAAUAGUUGGG
rnacentral:rRNA from 1 species